AUUUUGCUGGGACAUCCGUUCGCCAUCCACGUGCUGAACGUGAAGCGGCACACUCUGAAAUUCUACAUAAGCUGGGCUUUCUUCAUUUUCAGCAACUCUCUGAUGCUGUUAUACACCUACAACAUUUUGCUUAAUUGCAUUUUGACGAUCCAGUCCAAGGAAUUGGAAAUCACCGCCAUCGCAUUUGUCACCGCUGGCAGCAUUGGCAUCAUUCUGACCUUCUUGAGGUCGCUUUUCACCAUUGCAAAGAAAAUCAAAAUCGUUUCUCUGUUUAGGUUGAUCAACCAAAGCAAUCAAACUGAUGAAAAAAUUAUUUUGGCCGCUGCGAGAAAGAGUCUGGUUUAUUUGAUUUGCAACAUGUCAUUUUUUGCUGCGUUUAGUGUCAUCAGCGUUGCUACCGCAAUGCAAAUCAAGGAUAGGCUCUAUGACAAAGGAACUGGAAUGUACAACAGAAAUGUGACUGCCGUUGACAAAACCAUGAAGUACAUUGAGAAAUUUCCAAGCUACACGAAUACUGUGACUAAAAUGAGCUCCGGAAUGUUCGUGACGUAUGUCAUCAUCGCUUAUUUCUCUGGAUUAGUAGAGCUGGCAAAACUUACCAUUUGCGACGUCAACCAUCACUUUUUCUACUAUACAGUCAUUGGAAUGCUUCGAAAGUCACUAAGGGAGGUCUCACAAGCAUUGAAUACCGGCGAAAUAAAAAAAAUUGAAAAGUGGAUUUUUGAAUACCACAAUUGCAUCAGGUACACUUUCAAUGUUAAUUCACAUCUUCCAUAUUCAUUGUUUUGAUUCCAGGCUUUUUCAAAAAAUCAACAACGUUACAGCACCAAAUGUAUUCGCCACAGUGAUUCUCUGCACCCUUCAAGCUUGUUUGACUGAUUACAUCGUUGCAUUGGGUCUCAUUGAAUCAUUUCACGCAAGCGUCCUCCUCUGUUUCGGAAUCUUAGCACUGCUACAGAUUUAUAUUUACUGCUUCUUUGGCCAUAAGAUUCGCCUGUUGGUCACCGAAAUCCACACGGCCGCACAUAGAGUGCUAUGGAUUCGGCAGCCAAAGCAAAUUCAGCACGCGGUAAUGAUGAUUGCAAGCGCCACCGAUGGGCCAAACUCCGUGCCGCGCAUCGGAGCUCCGUUUUUUGAUCUCUCUAUGGAAUUCUUCGUUUCGAUCGUCGGAGUAACAAUUACAUAUUUCCUUGUAUUGAUGCAAUUCAAGAAGGAGAAAUAAAAAGUUCCAAUGUAUGACUAUCAUAAUUCGCAUUGACUUGAGGUUUAAGCAGUUUCUCA